GAAGCCGUUUUCCUGCGAUGAAAACGUAUUCUUAGAAAGACGAGUUCUGUUUAAACUUCCAGGAACCUGUUUGUAGAAAUAUUUUUACAGAUUAGUCCUUGAGCUUUAAACGUCCGUAUCUUUUCAACCGUAGCUCCAAAUCGGGUGAUUCCAAAGCCCACGUCUUCGUUUCGUCGAGCCCGUUCUGAUGGAUUCAUUUUCACCAUGUUUGCACAUUCUAAAAAUGACCAUUUUGCCCUUGCCGUAAACAGCCCCUCCCCCCGAGAGAGAACUAUUCCCGACAAAUCUUCUCGCGAUCGUUUCACACUUCUUCCCGGAGUAUUUGUCGACCCCCAGGCAAGCCAACCUCUUAUCAUGAGCUCCGAACUUGCAUGUUGACUUUGCUUGCACCUUGUGUGUGUGUAGUUGCAGUUGUUUACUAUCGUUUUUGUUUGUAGUCAUUUCAUUAUGCCUAUCAUGCAUGCGUGUGUUUUCAUGAUAUCUUUUGCCAUGCUAAUUAAAAUAUUGUUAUUUAUAAUGCCAUGUCACUACUCUACUUCAUUCUCAUGACAUCGUUAUAAAAUGCUAUGAUGACUGUAAUCCACCGUGGAUAUGUUAGUACUUGGUGUUGUCAUGUUCUUUAUGUUGUAGUGGUUCACUUGAGAAGCUCGAUAUUUUAUUAAAGCAUUUGUAUGAUGUAUGCUCAUUGUUGCAUUCAUGUUCAUGAUGAUGGAGAAGGAAAUAAAAUGACUUAAUGAUAACAAAACUCCUCCGUCAUUGAUGGGAUUGAGUAAUAGUGCCACCAAAUCGAACUUUUCCAGUGCAGCCACAUUUGCCUUUAUGGGAAGGCCUUAAUACGAUCUAUUGUCGUGCCUCUCAUUGGUGCCUCCAACGAGGGAAGGUUAUGGGCGCACGCUACCCUGAUCAGGCAGGCAGACAUAAGCCUUGUGUGCCCGAUGUUGUUGUUAUGGUACCGGGUCCCCAUGUGGGAUCGUUUAUGUUUUUGCCACGACGGUGGUCGUUGUGUCUUUGGUAGUCACGGGGCCACCCAGGACUAGCCCAGUGGGGAGUCAGUCGGAGUGGCCGGGAGAGUGUCAUGACCAUAGGUCGGUUUCAUCGAUAUGCCGUUGGUCCACACGAAUGGGUUGACGAGGCCAUCGGUUCCGUGGUGUGGGUACAGUGCGCUACCUCUGCAGAGUGUUUAUAAAGUCUAUCGAUAGCAACACAGUUCGUAGUAGGUCACACUAUUGGGUCUUGGUCGGAAUGGAGGAUAAACCUGAAAUAAUUAAGCUGAGUAAUGUGGUAACAAGAAUGUGGUGACUUGGACUAUGAGAUAGUCGUGAGAAGUCACGGAAAUGCUUGGAUAUGAUCAUGAGCCCAGGUCUCGGUGAGUGUUGGAGCCCAAGUGUUGGUCAUGAUUGUGAUCGCCGGAAGGAUCACCGUUUAAGGCCAAAUAUUGGUCGUGGUUGUGAUCACCGGAAAGAUCACGAGAUAUCUCUAGUUAAGACCUUGAGGUUGGUACAUUUGUGAUCCAUGAGUGAUCACCGUUCGGUUGCGAGGCAAUCCGUUGGUAAGAGAGUCCGAGGGACUCGGUGCACAAGUUUGGUUGCAUUGCAUGAGUAGUAAGUUUUUAUUUGCAUUUAAAGAACCAUGGGAGAACAUGAGAUGGUUGCAUGAUGGUAGCAUGUUAUGUCUGCAUUGGAUAUGAUUGAUAGCUUAUUUUCAGCAUAGUUUCAGGAUGCCAUGCUAUGUUUGGAUUGAGUAUAUGCCAUGUUUUGAUUGAACUCGUGCCAUGCUUAGAUUAUGUCAUGAUCAAGAUGCUAUGCUAUGCCAGGUUUUGCCGUUGCCAUGUUAGAAGUAAAUUUGAUAUGCCAUGUUAUUUCCAUGUUAGUAGAUGCUAUGAUGUUGUUCAUGCUCAGUUGAUCUAUAUCAUGCCAUGUUUAGUAAUUGAUAUGAGAUAGGUUGAUGCAUACGCUUGGUUCCUGCUUUGUCUUCUGUUUGUUUGGAUGCUAUGUAUUUGGUUGUCUUGCAAGUACAUUCAAUAUACUGACCUGGCGUGUCAUGCCAGUUUUGUAGGUCGUGCUCGAAAUUUCGUUGUUUCGUCAUGCUAGGCCGUAAUCUUGUCAGUCCUGUGAGUUGUGGAGCCCAGCCAGAGUGAUAUGCUGCCAAGACUUCCGCCGCCAUUUAAAUAGACUUUUGCUGUCAUGUAAAUAGCCUUAGGGCUAUGCUAGAAGAUUAUAUUCAUCACUGAUGUAAUCAUAUACACAUGUAUUUGAUGAAUAUUCUUGUACCUGGAAUGUUGUAUCAUGGACCUGUCGUGCGUCACGUGUUAUCCUGGGCUGACGUGCGAAGGCCCCCUGUUCCAUGCGGAUCGGGGUGCCACAGGGCUUGGUACCAGAGCAGCCAGGCUGGCGUAGAUUAUCCGAGCAUUAGAUCACCGCUACCAUCAACCCAUAAUGAACCUAAGGGAUUUGACCCAUCCCUAGCAUCCGGCAUGGCCACUGUUAAUCAACAGGUGGCGCAGUUGGGACCGACACGACCUCACCCUGCUGUCCCCGCCUAGUUAUCCGUGGAACAUGCAGCAAUCCUAUCCUUUCUGGUCGGCCGCACCACUUUCCCUUCACCAGUAAGGGAAAGGGGCCACACCAUGCGGGCCUGUCCCGCGUAGCUGCCUAUGAAACCCCCUUUCCGCUAGCCGUUUCGCUCGCUCCUCAAUCCGCCAUGUCCCUGCAGAGAAGCUUAGCUAGUAACUCCCCAGUCAUGACUAGCAGCUCCAAAACUUCCACAUAUUACACCCGCACCUAUGCCGUCGACCACCCUGGCUUUCCACCCCUUCUUGCCGAGAUGCUCACCAAAGCCUUUGGCGGUAAGACUAGUCCCGAUUACCUGGUGUUCCAAUCGGCACCCGUCCCUCACCUUCAUCGCUUUGUUGCAAGAGUGCACAUCAGCCUAGGUCCUGCAGCAGAUGUCCAACCUUUGGUUUUAUAGGGUAGAGCCAUGCCUACCUCUGAUUUAGCCAUUCAAGCCGCUGCUGUGGAGGCUAUCCUACACCUCUGAACCAAGUUCCCGCAUGUUGCAACAAGGCGGGAGUUCUGCUUUUCCCCACUGUGGCAAAAGCAGUAAUGCAGCCUUCUCCCGUUAGCCAAGGAGAUGAUCCCGCAAUCGCUCGCCUGGUGCAAUACAUCACUGCCCAGGGGAUGUUGAUUUCAAAGAUGCUUGCCGAGUUUAGAACCAUGGACAAUAAUGUGGUACGAUUCGUCACGUAAGCUUACCGUGAGGCUCGUAAGUUCGCAUCUCAAGCUGUUUGCCCAACGCCAUCCGAACCAGUGCUAUCCUCUCAACCUGUGCUGUGGCCCAAGCCAAACAUCAUCACCCUUGACAAGGCUCUUCUCCAGAUCCACCAGCAUCAUUUUCCUGGAUCAAUUUCAGCCCCACCGCCCCAACCCAUAGAAGUGUCAGACGAUGAAGAUGGAGAUUGGCUUAGUCUUUGUCCUCCUGGUGAGCCCCAGCAAGGCCAGUCUUCUGUAUGACCUCAGUCACGUAGUCAGUGGUUCCUGCUAGUCGAUCGGUCUGUCGGUUCGUCCCCGAUAUGAGGACAGAACCAUGUAUUCCCGGAGUGAGUAGUUUCGAUUAGCGCGUAGCGCAUUUGUGCUUUGAUGUAUGUUGGUACUGUUGUAACCCGUAUGUUGUGUUAUUUGCUUGCUUGAUUUUGUUUGUGUGUUUGUUUUUGCUUGUCUCUCUGUCAAACAGAAAUGUUUGACAGGGUUGACAAUGUGUGCUAACAAGAUUCUAAUCAGUAUGACACAUACACUAAAAACAACAUUGACUCGUUCCGAGUCUCUAAUAAAAUGCGCGCUGGUGUAGGUAUAUGUAUACCAGGAUUACAUAUACCCACUAGCAUUAAAACACCUUAGUGUGAUUUGUCUGGUGUGUUUUUCCGUUGCAUGUUUUUGCAUCUAUCUGUUUGUUUAUAUUUUACUGCAUACUGCACGCAUACCCGGUUCACCCACGAGUACAGUUGAGCAGUACUCGGGGAAUGCAAAGUCACAUAUCCCCCUCUAUCUGUGCAUACCCCGUGUGACAGGUUUUCCAAACCCAGAACCUCAAAGAGGCCAUUGUCAUCUGGCCAUUUCUCCUCCCUUAUUCUUUUUCAUGAGCCCAAUUGUGUUUCCAGAGGAACACUGCCAGCUUUAUUUUUCGCGAUCCAUUACAACUCCCCGAUACAGAUUUCAACUCCGAUUCUACCUCGACACCUACAUUUCAUAGAGCAAUCCACGAAAUCUUUCCCGUGCCCUAGUUUAACUCCUAAGCUGGCGUAGUCACCGCACCUGCAUCCGAACCCUUCCCCACCACCAUCACUGCCUUGCGUGGCGCCGCAAGUCACCACCACCGCAGCACGCGAUUACUCCGCCGGCGCGAGGCGACGGAGAACCAAGCGUAGCGCAGGACCACCUCAUGCACCAUCUUCUUCCGCACCUCGAGCCACAACACCCCGCUACGCAUUGUCUCGAGCCCGCUCGUUCCUGAUGAGUAUCACUAGGAGGAUCGCCGAGCUGAUCAGCAUGCCCAGCAGUGCCGCGAAGAACAACCGUAGCGCCACCAAGAACACCUCCUCGCCGCAGGAUCUCGACUCAAUCUCGCCCAAACUGAAGAGGUAGUAGAGUGGCAUUGUGUUUGUGUGUUGGAAGCGAGCCGCGCUACCGUUUUUAUAGCCCAACCCUGGUGAACGGUGAGCUGAGUCCAGGAAAAUCGCUCGUCGCCCGAUCACCGGCGUCCAGGAGGCGAAUCCGCAAGCAGUGCCGACAAGGUGCUGGCCCACGACGUGAGUGCUCGCUGCACCGGCGUCGUGCACGUCGCGCACUACGUCUCUAGGGCCCUCAUCGCCCUAGGAGCUAGAUGCGCGCUGCACCAAGCCGCACGUGAAGUAGCAGCACAGGAGAAGCAGCUAGCCGGAGGUAGAAGAAGGAGGCUGCCAGUGGGCCCAGGACCCACGUGUCAGCAGGUGAAUCCACUGUUCACUGGGGUGCAUCUAGCAUUUUUUUGAGAGUUUGAUCUUGAAUGCCCCUAGCCGUGGAUAUAAUCAUAUUUGCCCAUAUCUCUCCUUGGGUGUACCAAUUAUCGGUGCCCCAACUCGUUCAAAUUCAACCAAAGGGUUAAAAUUAACCCAGAGAUUUUUUCCCCGGAGUGGUUAUGUUUUCUUUGUGCUGUAACCCUAGGAAUCUCGGGGACGAGAUUCUUUUUAAGGUGGGAAGGUUUGUAACAACCACAAAAUUGGGUUAUCAAUUUUUGUGUUGUUAUUCCUUCCUGGCACUCCUUUUCAAAAUCUUUCUCCUGAGUUUUGUUGGAUGACUCUGAGGCUUCUUGUCAUUUGCAACCUUUCAAAACUUGUUCAUGUCUUUUUUAGUGGGCAAGACCUCGGUUGCAGCAUCUUAAACCCUCUCAAACCCUAAUUCCAAAAAAAUUGGAAUUUGAAUGUGGCCUUUUUGAUUACAAAGCAGCCAUCAUUUUCCUUGAUCUGUUGCUCACCCCAUCUGUUCCUUGAGACCCCCUAUCCUUUUCAACCUUGGAUAUGCAAAAAUAUUGCCAAGUCCCAUGCAAUAUUUUUGAAUUAUGAUUUAUUCCUUUACUUGCCUUUCUGAGGAAUAAAAUCCAAAGGCAUAGCUAGCCAUCUCCUAAAUUCAUGUGAAUUGGUAGAGUUGAUAAUUAUGCCUAAUCCAAGCUCUGGCAAUUAUAUUGGCCAUAAUUAAAUAAGGAAAAUUGACUUUUCUUAUUUAAUGCCAAUAUUCCAAUUCUGCCAUUUUCUAAAGGAACUACUAUUUUUAUAGCAGAUAAAAUUCCCACAUAAAUUGUGGAGCUUGUCCUUGCUAUAUAAUCACUAGUUUCAUCUUUAUCUCAUGUUCCAUAGAUAAAAAUUGGGCACAUGAUCCAAUGCAAGAUUAUGCCCUCUCUGGAAUUUUGCAAAGGAAGUGCUUUAUUCCUAAUUCCUUAUGAGCUGAAAUUUGGUAGGGUGAUGAAUAUUGAUAAAUAACCCAUGGACACCAAAGAUGAACUCAAUCCAAUCAUCUUAGCUCCUAGUGCAAUUUUUCAAAGUUUCUGACCAGAUUGUCACUUUGUGAAGGAAGUACCUUCAUAGUGUUCUCAAAUGGGAUGCAACUUUGCCAUCUUCUCAUGUGUCCCAAAUCAUUAGCCUCCACCCAAAUUCAGCUCAUUUCAUUGAGCUAUGUGAGCACAGGAGCAAUUCUGGUUUUCUGUCCAAAAUUUCAGUUUGUGAAGCAAGUAUAUUUUAUCUUGCUCCAUUAUGUCUGAAAAUAGUACCAAGCCUUCUACUAUCCCUAUAACCCACCUACCCAAGAGUUUGGCUAAUUUCAUUUGGCCAAUAUUUUCCUAGAAUUUUCCCAAGUUUCUGGUCAAAAGUGAUGCUUGUGAAGCAAGCACCAAUUUGGCAAGUCCAUUUGGUCUGAUCUUUUUACAGCAUCUACUUAUGACAAAAUCAUGAGGAUUUGCAAAGUUAUAGCUCAAUCCAACACUCUGAGUGUCUGCUUGUUCAUCAUCUAGUUUCUGGACCAGAAUUGGUAAUUGCACCGCAACUAUAUUAAAUCUAUGUCCUAAUGAUCUCAUAAUUACCAGGACCAUAGUCCUUGCUACCCUAAGCCUGCCAGACAUCAAUUUUACCAUUUAACCUCUCUGGUUUUACCUCUAGGAUGUUGCCAAGUUUGCAGCAGCAAACUAGUGGAGCUUGGUUUACUCAGCUCCAUUUGUCUGUGCCCAAAUCUUUAUGUGGUAAUACUCCACUUUGGAAGGACUACACGGUAGACAUGAGCUGGCAUCAGUAAAAACUCCAGAGCAUGCCAUGUCCGUGGUGAUCACGAGGGCAGCCAGCCAAAACGAUGGUCUAGCCACUGUUGGCCUCGGCAUCAUUGCUCCAGCUGGAUUUGGCUCGUCCCCGCAUGUCCAGUAGCUCCGCCUCGUUGUUGUUGUUCGCCUGGACCCCGCCCCCCCCUCCAUUUUCUUCUCCGGCGAGCCGUGCCAAAGGUCGAAUAGUGAGCGCCCGUGUGCACCAUCGCCUUCCUCCUCUGUCUUCUUCCUCCCUGAGCCUCGUUGGUGUUUCGUUGCUCCGUGAGCCUCUGCUGCUCGGCUGCAUCCUCCUCUUUGCCUUCCCGCCGCUUCUCGUGCGCCCUCGUGACUGCUGCGGCCGGCAGAGCCUCAGCCGGAUGCGCUCGGCGGUGCCUGGCUUGGGUGCCCCUGUCUCGGCUAUUUAUAGCCAGCCCGAGCCCUCCUCGAGCAAGCCAGCCCCUCCCCUCUCCCUCUGGAGCCCUCUCAUACCCGUGCCCGGCCGAAUCCCUCGCUGGAGCCCGGCAAUUUAGCCGGAGUUCGUCCACGGCCUCCGCGCCAAACCCCUCCCUCCAGCCGUCCCCUGCCCCAUCCGAGGCCAUGGAUGGACGCGCCACUCUCCGACGACCGUCCCUAGCCUGUUGCCCCCCUCAUUCCCCCACCGGAGUCACCCCAAUCACCGAGCCCCGCCGUCCUCUAUCUCCUCCGUCGCCGCAUCUCCAAGCCCUACCCGCCAUCGUUCUACCCUUAGGUGGGCGCGGUGCACGCCGGCGACCCCUUCCCCGUUGCUCCCUGGUCGGAUAGCUCAUUGGAGCGACGAGGCUACGCCGGUGCCGACGCCCUUGCUUCUGUGUCGGGAAGCAGGGGAGAAGAAGGAGGAAUGAGGCGUUGACCUGGCCAGGCAGGCCAGGUGGGACCCGCGCUUUUGCCCCGACCCCACCUGGCAGCGACCCUGGCACCCGGCCCCGCCUCUGCCACUUUGACUGGUCCAAUGCCAUGUCAGAUAAGUGGCGGUGCCCACCGCAAAGCCGUUUUCCUGCGAUGAAAAUGUAUUCUUAGAAAGACGCGUUCUGUUUAAACUACCAGGGACCUGUUUGUAGAAAUAUUUUUAUAGAUUAGUCCCUAAGCUUUAAAUGUCCGUAUCUUUUCAAACGUAGCUCCAAAUCAGGUGAUUCCAAAGCCCAUGUCUUCGUUUUGUCGAGCCCUUUCUGAUGGAAUCAUUUUCACCAUGUUUGCACAUUCUAAAAAUGACCAUUUUGCCCUUGCCGUAAUCAGCCCCCCGAGAGAGAACUGUUCCCGGCAAAUCUUCCCGCGAUCGUUUCACACUUCUUCCCGGAGUAUUUGUCAACCCCCAGGCAAUCCAACCUCUUAUCAUGAGCCCCGAACUUGCAUGUUGACUUUGAUUGCAGCUUGUGUGUGUGUAGUUACAGUUGUUUACUAUCGUUUUCGUUUGCAGUCAUUUCAUUAUGCCUAUCAUGCAUGCUUGUGUUUUCAUGAUAUCUUUUGCCAUGCUAAUUAAAAUAUUGUUAUUGAUAAUGCCAUGUCACUACUCUACUUCAUUUUCAUGACAUCGUUAUAAAAUGCUAUGAUGAUUGUAAUCCACCGUGGAUAUGUUAGUACUUGGUAUUGUCAUGUUCUUUAUGUUGUAGUGGUUCACUUGAGAAGCUCAAUAUUUUAUUAAAGCAUUUGUAUGAUGUAUGCUCAUUGUUGCAUUCAUGUUCAUGAUGAUGGAGAAGGAAAU
rnacentral:lncRNA from 1 species